rnacentral:rRNA from 1 species
AGUGAACGCUGGCGGUAGGCCUAACACAUGCAAGUCGAACGGCAGCACAGUAAGAGCUUGCUCUUACGGGUGGCGAGUGGCGGACGGGUGAGGAAUACAUCGGAAUCUACUUUUUCGUGGGGGAUAACGUAGGGAAACUUACGCUAAUACCGCAUACGACCUACGGGUGAAAGCAGGGGAUCUUCGGACCUUGCGCGAUUGAAUGAGCCGAUGUCGGAUUAGCUAGUUGGCGGGGUAAAGGCCCACCAAGGCGACGAUCCGUAGCUGGUCUGAGAGGAUGAUCAGCCACACUGGAACUGAGACACGGUCCAGACUCCUACGGGAGGCAGCAGUGGGGAAUAUUGGACAAUUGGCGCAAGCCUGAUCCAGCCAUACCGCGUGGGUGAAGAAGGCCUUCGGGUUGGAAAGCCCUUUUGUUGGGAAAGAAAAGCAGCAGGUUAAUACCCCGCUGUUCUGACGGUACCCAAAGAAUAAGCACCGGCUAACUUCGUG